rnacentral:rRNA from 1 species
GGUUGAUCCUGCCAGUAGUCAUAUGCUUGUCUUAAAGACUAAGCCAUGCAUGUCUAAGUAUAAACAACUUUAUACUGUGAAACUGCGCACAGCUCAUUAUAUCAGCAAUAAUUUAUUUGAUGGUACCUUACUACAUGGAUACCCGUAGUAAUUCUAGAGCUAAUACAUGCGUAAAGUCCCGACUCUUCUGGGGAGGGAUGUAUUUAUUAGAUACAAAACCAAUGCCUUCGGGCUUUUUUGGUGAGUCAUAAUAACUGUUCGGAUCGCAUGGCCUCGUGCUGGCGACAGUUCAU